GACGAACGCUGGCGGCGUGCUUAACACAUGCGAGUCGAACGGAAAGGCCCUGCUUUUGUGGGGUGCUCGAGUGGCGAACGGGUGAGUAACACGUGAGUAACCUGCCCUUGACUUUGGGAUAACUUCAGGAAACUGGGGCUAAUACCGGAUAGGAGCUCCUGCUGCAUGGUGGGGGUUGGAAAGUUUCGGCGGUUGGGGAUGGACUCGCGGCUUAUCAGCUUGUUGGUGGGGUAGUGGCUUACCAAGGCUUUGACGGGUAGCCGGCCUGAGAGGGUGACCGGCCUCAUUGGGACUGAGAUACGGCCCAGACUCCUACGGGAGGCAGCAGUGGGGAAUAUUGCACAAUGGGCGGAAGCCUGAUGCAGCAACGCCGCGUGCGGGAUGACGGCCUUCGGGUUGUAAACCGCUUUCGCCUGUGACGAAGCGUGAGUGACGGUAAUGGGUAAAGAAGCACCGGCUAACUACGUG
rnacentral:rRNA from 1 species